rnacentral:rRNA from 1 species
GACGAACGCUGGCGGCGUGCCUAAUACAUGCAAGUAGAACGCAGUUGCGAACGGGUGAGUAACGCGUAGGUAACUGCCUCAUAGCGGGGGAUAACUAUUGGAAACGAUAGCUAAUACCCCAUACUUGUAGAUGGACCUGCGUUGUAUUAGCUAGUUGGUGAGGUAAAGGCUCACCAAGGCCACGAUACAUAGCCGACCUGAGAGGGUGAGCGGGCCCCACUGGACUGAGAAACGGGCCAGGAUCCUACGGGAGGGAGCAGUAGGGAAUCUUCGGAAAUGGACGGAAGGCCGACCGAGCAACGCCGGGUGAGUGAAGAAGGUUUUCGGAUCGUAAAGCUCUGUUGUUAGGGAAGCGGUAACUACCCAGAAAGGGCCGGCUAACUCCGUGCCAGCAGCCGCGGUAAUUC